rnacentral:rRNA from 1 species
AACAGGAUUAGAUACCCUGGUAGUCCACGCCGUAAACGAUGUCGACUUGGAGGUUGUUCCCUUGAGGAGUGGCUUCCGGAGCUAACGCGUUAAGUCGACCGCCUGGGGAGUACGGCCGCAAGGUUAAAACUCAAAUGAAUUGACGGGGGCCCGCACAAGCGGUGGAGCAUGUGGUUUAAUUCGAUGCAACGCGAAGAACCUUACCUACUCUUGACAUCCAGAGAACUUAGCAGAGAUGCUUUGGUGCCUUCGGGAACUCUGAGACAGGUGCUGCAUGGCUGUCGUCAGCUCGUGUUGUGAAAUGUUGGGUUAAGUCCCGCAACGAGCGCAACCCUUAUCCUUUGUUGCCAGCGGUUCGGCCGGGAACUCAAAGGAGACUGCCAGUGAUAAACUGGAGGAAGGUGGGGAUGACGUCAAGUCAUCAUGGCCCUUACGAGUAGGGCUACACACGUGCUACAAUGGCGCAUACAAAGAGAGGCGACCUCGCGAGAGCAAGCGGACCUCAUAAAGUGCGUCGUAGUCCGGAUCGGAGUCUGCAACUCGACUCCGUGAAGUCGGAAUCGCUAGUAAUCGUAGAUCAGAAUGCUACGGUGAAUACGUUCCCGGGCCUUGUACACACCGCCCGUCACACCAUGGGAGUGGGUUGCAAAAGAAGUAGGUAGCUUAACCUUCGGGAGGGCGCUUACCACUUUGUGAUUCAUGACUGGGGUGAAGUCGUAACAAGGUAACC